rnacentral:lncRNA from 1 species
UCUUUCUGUUCACCCACAAAAGCAAUUGAUUAAAAUGUGAAGUACAUCUUUUGAGAUUUUAAAAAGUGAGAAACUGAAAGAUGGUGAUAUAGUUGGUAAAGGAUAGCUGGCGCAGGAACUGGACAUGGCUCCUGGGCUAGUGGUAAGGAGAGUCAUUCUCCUUCACUCUUCAGAGGAAGACCUUUCAUCAGAGUCGCUUUCCCAGAGUACUUUGUGAGUAAAUAUUUCAUCAGUGAGUCCUAGAAUCACCCAUCUAGUUCCCUGGGUCUCCUUUCAAUGUUUCUCACGCCCAAUGUGAUCCCUGUGAAUGGUCAUGCCAAUGAGUCCAUAAUGAAUGACAGUAGUAGCAUUGGCUAGUUUUUGAGGUCUCUUUGGGGAUAUCUGAAAAUGUCAUUAAUUUGCCUUAAAGCUGAGGAAAUAUUAUGUUACUUGAGUGUCUUUACUGCGCAGAGGAACAUCCAAAGCAAGCACUUUCUUUCUGGGCACCCGUCUUCAAUGGCUGUCCAUUUCUUUUACUGCCAUGAACCAAGUUUUCACCUGGAAGGAGCUGGGGAAGCAAAGGGCAUUUCAAGGUCACAUUCAAUUGGCCUGUUUUCCUUGGACUACUUCAGCAGCUAAAUUGAAGACUUGUUCAGGGAAUUAAAAAUUGAAGCCAUUAUUCAAAACAUAGUCUUCUAAAAGUAGAUAUUGUUGGUCAAAUGGGCCUUGACAAGUUUGUGAACAUCUUUUGAUUUUUCCUCAUCAUGGAAACUAUUGAUAGGAAACAACUGAGCAGCAGUUAGUUAUAUCUCUAAAAAUGUGUUUUUAUAAACUAGGCACUUAUAGCAACCAAAACCAUUAUAGUAGUAAUAAUUGAUCCAUCCCUGUCUCCUCAAUAUUACAUCCUUACCUAUGUUUGUGGCUACUGAUAGCUAUUGCACUAAAGUAUAAUAAGCCAUAAUUUAUUAAUAGUUAGUGGCUAUGUACAACAUUAGGCUACACCAGUAAGCCUUUCAUACUCUAUUACAUUAAAAUUUAAUUUUCUAACUUGCCCGAUUUUAUAACAAUACUUGGAACAUACUAGCUUUCCCAAUUUGAUGGAUCUUUUAGACAUUGACACACAAUCAGUUUUAUUAAUAUGACUACCAGUGUCAUCAGAAAGGUCUUUAACUAUUGGAAAACUUUCAAACUCAUAAUGGUGUGUAAAAAUUUCCAAGAUCCUACUCUUCUCUUGAAACCUUUGAUUCCAUCAUUGGUAACAGGUAAUUGCUUUCCCUGCAGCGACAGACUCUGUUCACUUUUGAGAAAACAUCUGCCAAAUAGUCUGUCACUCUUUCCAAGUAAUAAAAGAUGUUUCAUCACUAGAGCAGAGCGCUCAGCUCACAACUUAAGCAAUCUCAUUAGCGUUUUCCCUUGAAAAUGUGGUUUCCCCAGGCAGCAGACAUGUAUCACAUUGAUGUCCUACCUAAGGACACUAUUGACUUCUGGUUGCUUACAUUUACCUAUUGGUGGUUUUCAUGUGUGGUAAUGAAGACUGCAGCUAGUGUAGUCUGGUAUGGCUACCCUGGUUUGACCCAUCAGUAUUUAUUAUGAAAAGUUUCAGUCUCAUGGACCUUUUGGUAAAGUCUUAGGAGUCCCUGGUUUUCUACUGAAAACCCUUUGAAAACUCUUCCCUAUAGGAUAAUAAUGCUUCUAUAUUAACUUACAGCUGCAUAUGGUUUUAAGUAAAGAAAAAAUAAUGAAGAAUAUAAUAGCACUGAGAUGAAGAGUAUUAUCUUGGAUUCAAAAAGAAGAGAAUCUUAAUUUACUUGAAUGCCAAAAACAACUUUUAGUGGAAGAUACUUAAAAGUUUUUUUUUUAGAUUUAUUUAUUAUUAUAUGUAAGUACACUGCAGCUGUCUUCAGACACACCAGAAGAGGGCAUCAGAUCUCAUUAUGGAUGGUUGUAAGACACCAUGUGGUUGCUGGGAUUUGAACUCAGAACCUUUGGAAGAGCAGUGCUCUU